rnacentral:lncRNA from 10 species
AUGUCAGACUCAAAUUUGGAUAGCAGCAAGAAGAAUUUCUUUGAGGGGGAAGUAGCUGAUGAGGAAAGUGUGAUUUUGACAUUGCUGCCAGUUAAAGAUGACCCAAAUAUGGAACAAACAGAACCAAGUGUUUCUUCAACUUCUGAUGUCAAACUGGAGAAACCUAUGAAAUACAAUCAAGGUCAUCUACUUCAAACAAAUUAACAAUUUACAGCUCCACAAAAAGCUAGAUGCAAAAUACCAGCUCUUCCCUUGCCGACCAUUUUGCCUCCCAUUAAUAAGGUGUGUUGGGACACUUUGCGGGACUGGUGCCAACAACUCAGUUUGAGUACUAAUGGCAAGAAAAUCGAAGUUUAUCUGAGGGUCCAUAGGCCUGCUUACCCUGAACAACAGCAAGAUAUGCCUGAAAUGUCACAAGAGACCAGAUUACAGCGGUGUUCAAGGAAACACAAGGCAGUGACCAAGAGAGCAAGGCUUCAGAAAACUUAUGAGAUGAAUGAGAGAGCAGAAGAGACGAAUACAGUCGAAGUGAUAACUUCAGCGCAGGGAGCCAUGUUGGCAUCAAGGGCAAGAAUUGCUGCAAGAGCUGUUGAGCCUGAGGCUGUGAAUUCAAGUUCCAUUCCUGUUUCUCUUGAGGCCUUUUUGAUGCAAGCCGCUGGUGUCAGGUGGUGUGUGGUCCAUGGCAGACUUCUCUCGGCAGACACAAAGGGUUGAGUACGCCUGCAGUUUCAUGCAGGUCAGGCUUGAGUGCCUACCACUCACAGGAGGAUGAUUUCUCUCUUCUUGUUACCUGCCUGCAUUUUCCCAUCCCCAGGCACAGAAGAUAAUAUGUUAUGCCCCAACUGUGCUAAGAAGAAUAAGAAGAUGAUGAAAAGAUUAAUGACAAUAGAGAAGUAG